rnacentral:rRNA from 1 species
ACCGCAAGGCCUGGCACUUUACGAUAAGCCCGCGGCCUAUCAGCUAGUUGGCGGGUAAAAGCCCACCAAGGCUAAGACGGGUAGCUGGUCUGAGAGGACGACCAGCCACACUGGAACUGAGACACGGUCCAGACACCUACGGGUGGCAGCAGUCGAGAAUUUUUCACAAUGGGCGAAAGCCUGAUGGAGCGACGCCGCGUGGGGGAUGAAGGGCUUCGGCUCGUAAACCCCUGUCAUUCGCGAACAAAGGUGCCGGCCUAAUAUGCCGUCGUCUGAUAGUAGCGGAAGAGGAAGGGACGGCUAACUCUGUGCCAGCAGCCGCGGUAAUACAGAGGUCCCAAGCGUUGUUCGGAUUCACUGGGCGUAAAGGGUGCGUAGGUGGCAGGCUAAGUCGGGUGUGAAAUCUCCGGGCUCAACCCGGAGGGUGCGCUCGAAACUGGUUUGCUAGAGGAUGGGAGGGGAGACUGGAAUUCUCGGUGUAGCAGUGAAAUGCGUAGAUAUCGAGAGGAACACCGGUGGCGAAGGC